CAGUAACAAUGCUUUAUUUUCACCUUCAGGAAACUUUUUAACUUUACCUCCUGAGCAUCAAGGAAGCGUCCCUGAGUCCACCAGAGACAGGAGCUGGGCAACUGCACAGCAACGAACAAAACCAUUUCCCUGAAGGCCACCAACUGAAAAUGAAGCUCUUGUGUGUCUGUGCGUGCCCUACAUUCGCAAUUUGUUCACCUAUGUUGGUUAAGUCCCACACCACUGUGCAGACUAGAAAGGAACCAUAAAGUUUGUGGUCAGGUGGGCAUCUAAGAUAUAAAGAGGUAUGCCAAUAAAAAGCCUUCAUAAAUCUCUAUGCCCAGAAGCACAUUAUUUAAACAUUCUAACAUGCAGCAGGUGACUCAUCAGAAUAAAAGUGGAGUGUACAGAUUCUAGAAGGAUGCUAGAG
rnacentral:lncRNA from 1 species